ensembl:snoRNA
AUCCUUUUGUAGUUCAUGAGCAUGACAGUUGGGUGUUCACGUGGUUGUGUGACAUGUGCCUCCUGCAAAUCUUGUUACAACACUGGCACAUUACCCGUCUGAUG